UUCAUUGUUGCCGGUAAUGACAUGUAGAAUAGGACUCUAUCUUUAUUCUCGUCCGAUUAAUUAGUUAUAC
rnacentral:tRNA from 1 species